ACAAAAGUAAAUAAAAGACACCACUAUUGUCCAUAAGAUUCUUCAAAAACACAUAGCAAUGUUAAACAUUGAAACAAAACUAAAAAAGAAAAUAAUCAUGAAACUAAACAAUAACAUGUGUCCUUAGAGAUAAAAUUUAUACCUGGCACUUGAAGGGUAGGCACAGCCACUAACACCUGCUCAUCAAGAACAAAUACAAAGAAAGAACCGAUAAAAAGAGUUAGCUACAAUUAUUUUCAAAGAAAAACAAGAAAGAAAAGGUGAAAAUAAGUAUUUACUUGGAUCAGAUGUAACAACAGUAGCUGUUCCUGCAAAGUCACAAGCUAGUGCUUGUUGACCCUUCUUCUGGUAAUAGCUAUUCACAGCAUAGCUACAAUGAGCUCUAACGGUGUUUGGGUUGUAACAAGGAGCGUUUGUAUGAAGAGGGUUACAGUCAGCUCCAGCUCCACAAGCAUAGUCCAAGGUCUUUUGCAAGAUUGCAUCAGCUCCAUCCUUGCACACGCACCAAUUAGCACCUACAUAUGUCAAAGUUUGAGACAAACCAUGUUAAUAAUAGUACUAUGUUGAAAAUGUUGAUGUUUUUUUUGUGACAUUACUCAAACAAGUUAGAUAAGUGUCUCUUGUUUAAAGAUUCUGUGAGACAAAAAAUAGAUCCAGCAUUUGAAAAAUGAAAAGAAGGAAGAUCUGAAGAACUAGUUUGAAGGUAAAGUAGUUACUUGAAGGAAUGGCGGUGAAGGGAAAAAGAAGAAGUGCAAGUGCAAGAGUAGCAAAAGCCAUGAUGUUGUUAGGGUUAGAAGGGAAAGAUGAGUUAAUGGUGUGUGUUUUAGAUAGCAAUGAAAAACGUGGAAGAGCUAAAAGGUGAGGUUGAGUUGAGAGAGAGGAGUGGUGCGUGACAGAGAGAGUGAGGUGUGAGAAUAACAGGACAAAAAUAUAACAUAGAUUAGAGGGUGAGCAGAGGAGAAGGGAUUGGUGUGUGUAAGUAUGUAGUGUCUAGUAAGUAGUAAAGUUUUUGUAAACGGUGGGAUGAUUUGUUGGCCCCUUCAGUGUCGGCUUGGUUUGUCACUUGUGUCUACUUUUUGUACUUUUUUCAAUUUUCCCAUUAUUAAUCUUGGCCAUGUAAAAGUGUCAUAUGUUAUUAUGUAAUUUAUUUAUCUCACCGGUUACGCUAACAAGUGUUUUAAUAUAAUCUAUAUUAUAUUAUGG
rnacentral:lncRNA from 1 species